rnacentral:rRNA from 1 species
UUCGCCCUUAGAGUUUGAUCCUGGCUCAGGACGAACGCUGGCGGCGCGCCUAACACAUGCAAGUCGAACGGAGCUAUGUUGAAAGCUUGCUGGAUAUAUAGCUUAGUGGCGGACGGGUGAGUAACACGUGAGCAACCUGCCUUUCAGAGUGGAAUAACGUUUGGAAACGAACGCUAAUACCGCAUAAUGUCAGAGGAUGGCAUCAUUCUUUGACCAAAGAUUUAUCGCUGAAAGAUGGGCUCGCGGCCGAUUAGGUAGUUGGUGAGAUAAUAGCCCACCAAGCCGACGAUCGGUAGCCGGACUGAGAGGUUGAACGGCCACAUUGGGACUGAGACACGGCCCAGACUCCUACGGGAGGCAGCAGUGGGGGAUAUUGCACAAUGGGGGAAACCCUGAUGCAGCGACGCCGCGUGAGGGAAGACGGCCUUCGGGUUGUAAACCUCUGUCUUCGGGGACGAAUAAAUGACGGUACCCGAGGAGGAAGCCACGGCUAACUACGUGCCAGCAGCCGCGGUAAUACGUAGGUGGCAAGCGUUGUCCGGAAUUACUGGGUGUAAAGGGAGCGUAGGCGGGGAGGCAAGUUGAAUGUCUAAACUAUCGGCUCAACUGAUAGUCGCGUUCAAAACUGCCACUCUUGAGUGCAGUAGAGGUAGGCGGAAUUCCUAGUGUAGCGGUGAAAUGCGUAGAUAUUAGGAGGAACACCAGUGGCGAAGGCGGCCUACUGGGCUGUAACUGACGCUGAGGCUCGAAAGCGUGGGUAGCAAACAGGAUUAGAUACCCUGGUAGUCCACGCCGUAAACGAUGAUUUACUAGGUGUGGGGGGACUGACCCCUUCCGUGCCGGAGUUAACACAAUAAGUAAUCCACCUGGGGAGUACGGCCGCAAGGCUGAAACUCAAAGGAAUUGACGGGGGCCCGCACAAGCAGUGGAGUAUGUGGUUUAAUUCGAAGCAACGCGAAGAACCUUACCAGGUCUUGACAUCGAGUGACGAACUUAGAGAUAAGUUCUUCCUUCGGGACACGAAGACAGGUGGUGCAUGGUUGUCGUCAGCUCGUGUCGUGAGAUGUUGGGUUAAGUCCCGCAACGAGCGCAACCCUUAUCAUUAGUUGCUACGCAAGAGCACUCUAAUGAGACUGCCGUUGAUAAAACGGAGGAAGGUGGGGAUGACGUCAAAUCAUCAUGCCCCCUAUGAGCAGGGCUACACACGUGCUACAAUGGCGUAAACAAAGGGAGGCAGAACCGCGAGGUCGAGCAAAUCCCAAAAAUAACGUCUCAGUUCGGAUUGUAGUCUGCAACUCGACUACAUGAAGCUGGAAUCGCUAGUAAUCGCGAAUCAGAAUGUCGCGGUGAAUACGUUCCCGGGUCUUGUACACACCGCCCGUCA